rnacentral:tRNA from 1 species
GAAAAAUUAGUUAAAUUAAUAACAUUAAUUUGUCAAAUUAAAAUUAUAUUUAUAUAAGUAUAUUUUUCU